AUGGAAGCUGUGUUCAGGCCGGUCCACGCUGGGUGACCCAUGUGACCUGCUGCUUAGCAAUUCCUUGUCACCAUCUUCCCUUCUCAGCCUCUUUUUUCAUGCUAACAGGCAUAAAUGAAAUGAUAAAAGUUUGAGCUCUUCUCGUGGAAUUCUCGUGAUACAGAUAUGUGCUACAUGUUCAUCAUCUCGUUGGUCUUCACCAUGAUAACUGUGGAGUAAGAAUUAUAAGCAGGUCACAGAUUAGGGACUUGAGAUUGACAGUUUGGCUUCCCUGUUCUGGGUGGCAAAGCCUGUGGAGUACUCACCUACCUGCUGCAUGAAGGCAGCAUGGAGGGACUGUGGUGGAUUAUCUGCAAAGAUGGCCAAAAUUCUCUCAUCCCUGCAGGCACAUACAAGAGAAGAACUGAAGCUCAGCUCUUCACCCUACAGAAAGCCUGAAUUUUGUAAAUGUUCUGCUUAGAAUGAGGAAGAAAGAUGAAGAAUGAGGAGGAAGAAGGAAGGAACGAGAGAGAGGUUGUUGCAUGGCAUAAGUAAAGUGACAGUUAUAGGAUACAUGCAACUUUUCAGUGACAAAGAUCUGUGCAGCAUCGACAGUACUGCCUAAUGAGGUUUCACCAUAAUGAAGUAUCACAACCAGUUUACAGACCAGAAAACUGAGACACAGGAAGGGGUGGUGACUUGAGCAAGGUGCAUCAGCUGGAAAUUGAAGUAUACAGAAUGCUUAUUUGGUCUACUCAGUAUCAUCCUAAAUGUAUGUACCAAUGCUUAGGAGUUUGCAGUUCACCCGCAAACCUCAGCGAUCCAAGCUCCCCUGGAUGACCAUCACUCACCAAGAAAAGAGCAAUAACAGGACCUGUUUUGCUAAUCCAGGACUGUUCUCCAGCACUAACUCUAAAUAAUCCCUUCUGCUAGAGUCCACUUUCUGGAACCUGUUGUGAGUAUUGUGAAUUGUUCUCCAACCUCUAUUCUAGUUAUCUCAUUUCCAUUGAGACUAGCAAAAGCACUUGCUUGAGAUUCUGUGUUCAAGUUUCAACUUUAGCAACUCACUUUUCCUUUAGGCCUCCGUUUUCAACGUUUCCCAAACUUGGUCCGUUGUGUGAGCUGGCUGAUAAAAGUUCCAGGUAACCUUCCUUGUUCUCAAGGUCCAUUUUCCAGGAAAAUCUGAGUCAUGGUGCUGGGGAGGACACUUAAGUACAUCAGUCAAUCAGAUGAUUAUUAAAUUUAGGAAAUAGUAGAUCAACUGGAUUAACUGGAUUAAAAUGCAGAAUCCCAGGCCCCAGCCCAGACCUACUGAACCAGCAUCUGCUCUUUAACAAGAGCCCCAUGUGAUGUGUGGGACAGAAAACUUUGUGAAGCACAGGGCUAGACAGUCUCUAAAGUCUUCUGCAGAUCAGAAACGCAGCAAUUCUGAGGUUUUCUUCAAUUUUCUAAUGUUAUUUCCAGCUCUUUCCCCUCUCUUCUUUCCUUGAUAUGCUGAGGAAAACUUUCUCUGUGAUAAGCAGAGUAGGUGUCUUGUUCUGUGAAUUUCUAAUGUCUCUGCAAGGGCUUCAUAUGUUGAAGGAAGUUGGGACUCAGGGGGUUAACUGCAAAACACAUUACCAUAGGACAGCUGCCACGGCAUCACAUUCUAAAAUCUGAUAAAUGAAAAAUGGGCAUGGUAUCAAAUUUAAUCACAUUUGUAUUCAGAUGUUGUUGAGAGCAGACACUGAUUUAUGAACUAGCAACAGACACCAGAUUUCCUGCCUAUGUUAUAUACAUAUGAAUGGGUGGACGGAUGGAUAGAUAAACAGACAGUGAAAUUAUGUUGCAAAUUACAUGGCACCAGACCUGUUUAUAACCUAGAUCUCAUCAAACUAAUAUUAAAAACUACUACAGAUAUAUUUUUUUUUCCUGGGCAGUAGCUGGUGGUCUUACUUUUACCCUGAAAAACAGACUUCUUUCAAAGGAUUCUCUUUCUUAAUUUGUGCAGCAUUGAAAAUGCUUCUGCUUUGCUCAGUAGAUAGCAUUAUCAUAUUUAUAUACAGAAAAAUGUUCUUUAUGGGAUGGAAAAGGAUAAAGGGAUGUUCAAACCAUUGCUGCGUUCUGUUGCGCACCCUCCCACUCCCUGACAACUCCGUUAAAACAUCAACAGUACAAGGGGCCACUGUAUAUUUCUGGGAUUACACACCAAGAUCUAGGCUUUUAGAGGACCUGUGAAGGGCUGAGGUGGAAGAGGAGAACAUUCAACAUGGAUUAAUAAUAAAAAAAUUAAGCAACUUUCCUCUCAGUUCAGCAAAGUAGGGAGAUCUAGGUUCAGUGUUUCUUGAUAUUUACAGUUUUGAAGGUAAAUCACUUGGCUGAUGAGGUUCUCUAUUUUGGGGCAGAUACUGCUUAAUAUCACCAGAGACAUCUAGCCAUCUUCGCAGUAUGUUUUCUUUACUACGCCUUUUCCUUGUAGAGACUUCCUGUAUUUGGCAAAUUUAAUCAAAUUUUAUUUAUCUUUCAGAGGUCACAUAGGUACAUUCACUCACUUUCAACCAAUAUUUCUUAAGACUGUGUUACGCUGUGCACAGGAGACAAGACACAGAAAUAGAUGACCCAUGAUUUGUCUUCUUUUUAUUUAAAAAAAAAAAAGAAGAAGAAGCUCUGUAUCUGUGAACAAGUCAGAUAGACACAGAUGAUUUCAGCAUAAUUAGGAGGAAUCACUGAGCUCAGCCCAGGGAGCUAGACUAGCUCAGAGGAGUACCUGAUUCACACUAGGAAGGUAUUGGCACAGGCUUCCUGGAAGUGGAGACACUGAAUGGAAUUCUAAAGGAUGUGAUACCUUCUACAUGUUCUUUAAGAUACAGGAUGGUGGGUGUUCUUAAUGGAGAAGUAGGAGAAAAGGGUUUUCCUGGUGUGAGAAACAAUGGAGAUUAGAAAAAGCAUGAUAAUCAGAGGACAAUUCACAGCUGUGGUAUGACUGGAAUAAAACCAUCCAUCCUCCAGAUGCCAGGAGGCAGGCACAACAGUCACUGUCCUGUGGCCUUCAUUCCUUGGGGAAAACACCACAAUGGUCAUCACCUGAACAAAUGGAGUGGGGAGAUGUGGAAGUGAAAGAAAGGGAACGCUGAAGAAGACAGUAUCAGAGACCCAGUAGCAAUGAAACCUCAAUUGGCACAGAGGAUUUGGGAAGAAGGACCCAGAUUUGAGUAUUUUCAGCUCUAGGUGCUGAAGAUGUUCAUGACCAAAUAGACAUGGUAGUUGAGGGAAAGAGGGUUUUAGGGAGCCCUUCUCCUUGGAAUUCUAGGUAAGUGAUGAUGCUAUUUACUAAGAGAAGACAUCCAGAAGAAGGAGCUUGCAUUGUCUUUAUUUUGAUUUUGUUUUGGUGGAAUUGAGAAUACAAUGUAUUAUUACUGUGGAGGAGGUGGAAAUAAUGCCAACUUAAACCUUCCCUCCCCUAGGGAGCUCUCCCUAACAAUCUGGGCUGGAAAGAGUGUGUUCCUUUAGGAAACAAAGCAUGUAUUACCCAUUGAGAAUCCAUUAUUACUUUGAAUUUUUAGUUUUGUUUUCAUGUGUUGCUUUAUCUUCUUAAUUAAAUUAUCUCUUCUAGGGAGAAGACAUCUUACUCUUAUUGGAUCAUGCACAGUGCCUGAAGCAUUCUGUUGCAUGUAGAAGGUAUUGGUGGAUGUUUGUUAAUUGAUUUGUUGAAUUUUUUUUCACUGAACACAUUCCCAAGAAACAGCCAAACCCAGAGUAAGGAAACCAUCUGGCAAGAACCGCUCAAGAGAAUGCUUCUUGGCUCUCACAUCUUAAAGGUCUUAAAAUAGCUAACAUUUAUUGAACAUUUUACUAUAUGCCAGGUAUUAUGGGCUAAGCCCAUUAUAUAUGUGAUCUCAUAUAAUUAAUCUUCAAAACAAUCUUGUGUCAUAAAUGCUACAAAUACUUUGAUUUUAAAACUGAUGAAAAUGAGAUUCAGGGAGAUUGUCAUUUUAUUUGCAGUCAGUAAAUUGCAGAUGUAAGAUUCAAAACCAGACUUCACAUCUACCGACUUCAGUGACCCUGAAAUUUGUUCACAGAGAGCAUUUAACAUAACUGUCUUCAUCAUCUCCUUCUCUACAUUAAAAAUUAUGGGUAAGUCUCUUGCUUUUCCAGUCUUCAUUGCUUUUCUAGUCUUAGAAAUAUUAUACAAAGACAAGAAAUACAAGAGACUUACUCAUAGCUAUGUGUCCAGAGCUAGAGUUAGAAUUCGCAUCUAGAUCUUGAGACAGGUAACUUCUUACUCUACUGCGUUGGUUUUAAGACAAAUCUGUUGAGGCAAACUUUUUGCUGGGCACUGUAGGCAACAGAAAGAAACUGAGGGUCUGCUAUUUGUCUCCAGAGGCCUUACAAACUGGUAGAAGAUGCAUAACAGAAGAGCUUAUGAAGUUAAAGAUGACAGCAUAGCAGCACUGGUGAGAUCCUUUUAGACAUAACAUGGUAGGAAGGACUGUUUGACAAAGUGAAUGCCUGUCUUUCAGAAUAUACAGGGAGGUGUGAUGUACCCAUUAUCACAAGCAGAUGGAAUCCCUAUAGAGUCGGAUCUCAUCUACAUAUCACCUAUUAUAUGUAGUUAUUGAUGGAUAAAUACUUCAACAACUAAAGGCAGAAAGAGAGCAGGUGGGCAUAGGAGUUAGUAAACAUCUCACUGCUAUUGUUUUUCAAGGUGAAGCUAGAGAAGAAGAUUCCUAAGAUGUAGGAGGAAAUUAUCAUACUGAGUAAGAGGGUGCAAUUUUGGAAGGUUGGACUUGAUGACCUCUCCAGCAUUAAGGGUGAAUGAUUCUUUCUAGGGAUUUGGUUUGUUGCCAGAGAGCCUGGCUACCUGCUAUUUAGUUGCUUUGUUGAUUAGCAAAUUUCCUCUGAAAUAUUCCUCACAUUCAUGAGCCCCCUUCCUGGGGUAGGUGGACCCAGAAAAUGUUUUCUCCCAUUUUAGUUGGCCAUGUGUUUGAAACUCAGAUGGACCUAAGUCUUUCAGCAUCAUUGUCACUACUGUAUGUCUAUCCAUAAAAAGAAGGCAUAAGACUCUCUGUAGUAUCACGAAGUUAGCCAUUUGGGAUUGCAAAAACUUUCCUCUUUCCAUUGGAGAGAAAUAGUUUAGAUUAGAUGGUGGAGCCCCUACCACAUCUCCCAAAAUUUAAAUUAUAACAUGAACAGUAAUUUAGGUCUGAUUUUAAUAUUUUGUCAUUCUUAAACCUAAUAAAAGCUACAUCUUCCUAAAGACCCUCCUAAUUUUUAUUAUGGACAGUUCACAAAGACGUUAUUGGUGAUUCAAUCUUGAGUCAUGAAAAGUCAACCUUGAGCCACAAAAAGUCAACCUUGAGCCAAGCAGAUUGGAGAGUCAUACAUGCCAUUCCUGGGACCAUCAAAAAUGGCAGAGGUCACACAAAAAGGCAAAACUUUUAAGAGGUGUUUUAAACGUCGUAUGGGCCAAAGAGAAGCUGGAUUUCCUAUUGGAGUCACCUGUAACACACGUGUGACGAAAUUGGCCUGUGAGGACAAGGCAGUGAGCAGAGAGGACAGCAGUCCUUAUGAGAUCAAGCUCUAAGGUGAGGUUGCAGGAUCUGAAGGCCAGCUCCCCUGCUUGCUCACUGUAUGACUUUAGGCAAGUCAUUUUACUUCUGAAUGAUUCAUAUUGGAAGUAAAAUAUAUGAUUGGUUAAAAUAGUUUCUAAAUUUAUUAUGGGGAUUAAAUGGACCAAUAUACUCGAAGCUUUUCAGACAGAGUCUGGCGCAAAGUAAGCACUUAGAAAAAUGUAAGCUUUUAUUAUAAUAGAAACUAUUAAUAUAAUAAUUAUUCCUGGGUGUAAAAUUAGGGAAAAUCAUUAGAAUAGAAAGGAAGAAAGAAACAAGAAUCAGAAUAGGAGCAAGAGAGAUUUCAAGGAAGGGGUAAGGAUGUUUGGGAGAUACUAGUUUUCCCCUAGACUGGUAUCCAAACUAGAUUUUAAAAUCUUGAGAUAGGGCCUUGUCUUUUAUGAUGGGCAGGAUUUCUUUGCUCUUAGCAUUGAUAAAAUGUGGCAUGACCAGUGGCUGGUUGAAUGAUGUAUAGCUCCAGCUGGAAUCAAGAUCACAGUAUGCUGACCUCUGAACUUUGUAAGAUUGCAAUGAUUACUCUUCUUCCACUCAGAGGCUCAUUAGUGUCAAGCCAUGGUUGUCCCUGUUUUGAUGAGUAUUCACCACCUGGCUACAUGUGACCUGGCUUCUGGUUAUAACCAUACCAGCCUGCAUGACUUCCCAUAGCAUGCUGCCAUCAGACACUGCUCUCCCAUCUUCUGCAACAUGAGAUAACUUUUCACAAUUGGGGCAUGAGGGGCAGUGCUAGUGGAUACAACAUUUUAUGUCAAAUCAGGGGUUCUGCAAAAUGCCCCUGGUUAAUUUAGUCCAGAGUCUAAUGUAAAAAGGUAUCUGAGUAGCACAAAAUUGCAUAUAUAAUUGUUUUCCAUCAUUAUUUUAUAACUUUCCUCAAUAUCAUCCAGGUAUCCUAGACACAUUUGGAGAAUUCACCUGAGCUACAGGAUGUGGUAAGAUUUGGUGAGCAGGUGGUGAUUCUUACAGAAUCCCUCACACAUUCAUGCACAGAACUUCCCCAGCACACUCCCAGGUAGGACCACUUCCCUCUUCAUUGUGCAAAGAUUCACCACUGGUUCCAGCCUUCUCUGGCACUUUUAAGAUAUGCAUCAGGUUUUAUUCAUCUCUGAUUUUCUAGCCUCUGGCAGACUACCUGGUGUACCAGAGGCUUUGUAAGUAAUAGUUAAAUAAAGAGAAAACAUUAAAGCAACAUUGAAGGAAGAGGGUUAACCAGACUACAGAUUUGAGACCUCUAUCUCAGAGGGCCAACAGUCAUGUUGAUGUUUUCAUGCUUUCUUGGAUAUAAAAGUCACACUACACUUUCCCUCUCGGUGACCAUGUACAAAGGUUCAUUUAUAAUUAAUAGACAAAGUCUUUAAUAAAGCAAACCAAAUGUCAUCUUUCCUUUUUUCUGCAAUAUGAAGUCAUUAUUUCCACUGGAUGAAAGCACUUUUGACCUAUAAAAAUAAAAAAGUGAGAUGUUAGGUGACUUCAGUGCAUAAAAAUACUGUUUCUUGUUACCAAUAAUAUAUACUCAACCAUCGUCUUCAUCUUUAUCAUGGUCUCCUGGGGCAAACUGAAUCUGAGUUAGCAGGGUUUAAUAAAAGUUAUUCUGAACAUCUGGGUCAUUGUAGAGACACAUAUUGAAAAUUGAAACACUUUAUAUGUCAACAGAUGUUCUAGAAGAAGCCUGUCUAUUUUCUCUUAUUCAUUUAUGAGUCCAAGGAGAGGAAAAGUUCUUUGUUCAUCUCUCCAUCCAUGAUAUUAUGCUCCAUGCCUGAACCUCACCUAAUGCCUACUAUGUUUUAC
rnacentral:lncRNA from 1 species